UACGAGAGGUCUCAAGCGUUGUUCGGAUUCAUUGGGCGUAAAGGGUGCGUAGGCGGCGCGGUAAGUCGGGUGUGAAAUCUCGGAGCUUAACUCCGAAACUGCAUUCGAUACUGCCGUGCUUGAGGACUGGAGAGGAGACUGGAAUUUACGGUGUAGCGGUGAAAUGCGUAGAUAUCGUAAGGAAGACCAGUGGCGAAGGCGGGUCGUCUGGACAGUUCCUGA
rnacentral:rRNA from 1 species